AUUCGACAAAAAAAAAAAUAAAUACGAAAAUAUAGAAAAAAAAAUGAAAAUAUCAGAAAAAGAAAAUAAUUUUUCGGCUCAUGUUUCGGCGAUUUUUCCCAUUUAGUUGAGAGAAAAUCGUCGCUUCGUUAACGUUUUAAAACGUUAUUUAAACGCAAAGAAAUAUAUUCAAAAUAUAACAGGGUGUAACAAAAUUAAAGUGAUACAUCUAAUUAAAAAAAAAGAAGAGAGAAUUGAAUGAAAAUCAUUUGUGUUUGAAAAGAAAAAAUCGAAGUGUUUUGACAAAGCUGCAAAAUCAGAAUAAUUUGCAGAAAAUAUUUUUGUAUAAAAAGUGACCAAAAUUUAGAAAAAAUAAAAAAAUUUGAUUUUCACCUGUGAAUUUCAUUCGUGAAAAAUCAAAUUAAAGCAAAGAUAAAAAAAAAAUUAAAUAAUUAGUGCAUAAUACCGCAUAGAAAUUUUUUCUAAUUGGAUAUUAUAUUUUUCCUCUGUAGACAGAAAAAACAUUUCAAGAAUAUACAAAAAUGUCUUCUCAAUUGCAUACUGUACGUUUAUGUCGUGGUGAUGCAACACCAUGGGGUUUCCGCUUACAAGGUGGUGCUGAUUUUGGAACACCAUUAACGGUGCAAAAGGUAAAAUUUUUAUAAGUAUAAAAA